rnacentral:rRNA from 1 species
CCUACGGGAGGCAGCAGUGGGGAAUAUUGCACAAUGGGGGAAACCCUGAUGCAGCGACGCCGCGUGAGUGAAGAAGUAUUUCGGUAUGUAAAGCUCUAUCAGUAGGGAAGAAAAUGACGGUACCUGACUAAGAAGCACCGGCUAACUACGUGCCAGCAGCCGCGGUAAUACGUAGGGGGCAAGCGUUAUCCGGAUUUACUGGGUGUAAAGGGAGCGUGGACGGCAGAGCAAGUCUGAAGUGAAAGCCCGGGGCCCAACUGCGGGACUGCUUUGGAAACUGCCCGGCUAGAGUGCUGGAGAGGUAAGCGGAAUUCCUAGUGUAGCGGUGAAAUGCGUAGAUAUUAGGAGGAACACCAGUGGCGAAGGCGGCUUACUGGACAGUAACUGACGUUGAGGCUCGAAAGCGUGGGGAGCAAACAGGAUUAGAUACCCUGGUAGUC